AGGACGAACGCUGGCGGCGUGCUUAACACAUGCAAGUCGAACGCUGAAGCCCAGCUUGCUGGGUGGAUGAGUGGCGAACGGGUGAGUAACACGUGAGUAACCUGCCCCCUUCUUUGGGAUAACGCCCGGAAACGGGUGCUAAUACUGGAUAUUCACUGAUCUUCGCAUGGGGGUUGGUGGAAAGGUUUUUUCUGGUGGGGGAUGGGCUCGCGGCCUAUCAGCUUGUUGGUGGGGUGAUGGCCUACCAAGGCUUUGACGGGUAGCCGGCCUGAGAGGGUGACCGGUCACAUUGGGACUGAGAUACGGCCCAGACUCCUACGGGAGGCAGCAGUGGGGAAUAUUGCACAAUGGGCGAAAGCCUGAUGCAGCGACGCCGCGUGAGGGAUGGAGGCCUUCGGGUUGUAAACCUCUUUCGCUCAUGGUCAAGCCGCAACUCAAGGUUGUGGUGAGGGUAGUGGGUAAAGAAGCGCCGGCUAACUACGUGCCAGCAGCCGCGGUAAUACGUAGGGCGCGAGCGUUGUCCG
rnacentral:rRNA from 2 species